rnacentral:rRNA from 1 species
GACGAAUGCUGGCUGCGUGCUUAACACAUGCAAGUCGAACGGUGAAGGGGAGCUUGCUCCCCGGAUCAGUGGCGAACGGGUGAGUAACACGUGGCAACCUGCCCCUCACUCUGGGAUAACUCCGGGAAACCGGGGCUAAUACCGGAUACGACCGGGAGCGACAUCGCUCCUGGUGGAAAGAACUUCGGUGAGGGAUGGGCCCGCGGCCUAUCAGCUAGUUGGUGGGGUAACGGCCCACCAAGGCGACGACGGGUAGCCGGCCUGAGAGGGCGACCGGCCACACUGGGACUGAGACACAGCCCAGACUCCUACGGGAGGCAGCAGUGGGGAAUAUUGCGCAAUGGGCGAAAGCCUGACGCAGCGACGCAGCGUGAGGGACGAAGGCCUUCGGGUUGUAAACCUCUUUCAGCGGGGACGAAGCGAAAGUGACGGUACCCGCAGAAGAAGCACCGGCUAACUACGUGCCAGCCGCCGCAGUAAAAC